rnacentral:rRNA from 1 species
GGCGAUCAGAUACCGCCCUAGUUCUGACCGUAAACGAUGCCAACUAGCGAUCCGCCAGUCGACUCAUCGCUCUGGUGGGGAGCUUCCCGGAAACGAAAGUCUUCCGGUUCCGGGGGAAGUAUGGUUGCAAAGCUGAAACUUAAAGGAAUUGACGGAAGGGCACCACCAGGAGUGGAGCCUGCGGCUUAAUUUGACUCAACACGGGGAAACUCACCCGGCCCGGACACCGUAAGGAUUGACAGAUUGAUAGCUUUUUCAUGAUUCGGUGGAUGGUGGUGCAUGGCCGUUCUUAGUUCGUGGAGCGAUUUGUCUGGUUUAUUCCGAUAACGAGCGAGACUCUGUCCUACUAAAUAGUUGACGCAUUGCCACUGUGCGCACAACCUCUUAGAGGGAUUUUCGGUGUUUUCAACCGCACGAAAUUGAGCGAUAACAGGUCUGUGAUGCCCUUAGAUGUCCGGGGCUGCACGCGCGCUACACUGGCAAACGCAACGUGCCUGUCCUGCCCCGAAAGGAGCGGGUAAACCCCUGAAAUUUUGCCGUGAUUGGGAUCGGACAUUGCAACUAUUGUCCGUGAACGAGGAAUUCCUUGUAGGGGCGAGUCAUCAACUCGUCCCGAAUACGUCCCUGCCCUUGUA